rnacentral:rRNA from 14 species
GAGCGUUCUGUUGUAGGUUGAAGCAUUAACGUAAGUGGGUGUGGACGAAGCAGAAGUGAGAAUGUCGGCUUGAGUAGCGAAAACAUUGGUGAGAAUCCAAUGCCCCGAAAACCUAAGGUUUCCCCCGGAAGGCUCGUCCGCGGGGGGUGAGUCAGGACCUAAGGCGAGGUCGAAAGACGUAGUCGAUGGACAAUAGGUUAAUAUUCCUAUACCGUUUUUUAUUGGCAACGAGGGACGAAGAAGGCUAAACUUAUCCAGAUAGUGGUCACUGGUCCAAGCAUUCAAGGUUAUGAGAAAUAGUGAAAAUAUUUUGAGCUGAGAUGUGAUGGGGAGAUACUUAGUAUUGAAGUAGUUGAUGUCAUGCUUCCAAGAAAAGCUUGCACUGUCAUAAAUAGAAAACGCCUGUACCCUAAACCGACACAGGUAGGUAGGUAGAGUAUACUAAGGGGCGCGAGAUAACUCUCUCUAAGGAACUCGGCAAAAUAACCCCGUAACUUUGGGAGAAGGGGUACCCUAUGGGUUGCAAUAACAAGGUCCAAGCGACUGUUUAUCAAAAACACAGGUCUCCGCGAAGUCGAAAGACAAUGUAUGGGGGCUGACGCCUGCCCAGUGCCGGAAGGUUAAAGAAGCUGGUUAGCAGUAGCGAAGCUAGUGACUGAAGCCCCGGUGAACGGCGGCCGUAACUAUAACGGUCCUAAGGUAGCGAAAUUCCUUGUCGGGUAAGUUCCGACCCGCACGAAAGGCGUAACGAUUUGGACACUGUCUCGGAGAGGGACUCGGCGAAAUAGACUUGUCUGUGAAGAUGCGGACUACCUGCACCUGGACAGAAAGACCCUAUGAAGCUUUACUGUAACUUGAGAUUGGUUUCGGGUUUUAUUUGCGCAGAAUAGGUGGGAGGCUAUGAAAAAAUACUUGUGGGUGUUUUGGAGCCAUCAGUGAGAUACCACUCUUGUAAAACUAGAAAUCUAACUUUACACCAUUAUCUGGUUAAAAGACAGUCUCAGGCGGGCAGUUUGACUGGGGCGGUCGCC